AUCCAAAGGGAAAAGCAUUUUCUUUACAUUGUAUUGGUUUGUUGACCUGAGGCAUAUAAAUUUUGAUUCUUGAUCAAUCUCAUUGACUUACAAUUGGAAGACCAGCAAUUCUACAACAAUUUUUAAUACUCUUGAGGGCUAAGUUUUGUGAUUGAUGAAGAUCAUUUUUUUUUUGGCUCCAUUUUGAAGAUAUUACAUUUUUUGAUAUGAUUAAACGAGGAAUAAUUUUGAAAUGAAAUGACAAAAAGGAUUUUAUUUUCUAGAAUAGAGGAUAAGUGUUUAAUAUUUUCAUACUGGUUGUCGAAGAUCAAGAGAAAUAGUAAAAAAGGAGCACAUGAGCAUGUGAUAUGCACAAUUGAGGGGGAAAAUGACAUGCAGCAAACAUGCAAAAAUAGAAAAGAAAAUAGAAUAAUUUAUACUUAAAAAAAUGAAAUAUGAUAAAUAAAAUGAAAUAGAAAAAAAGUUGAUAAGAAAACAAAAUAUAAAAAUGAAAGUAGAAAUAACAUAAGUCUGAAAAUUUUAAAUACUAGAAAUAGAGGAAGGUAAUGCUGGUCAGGGAUAUGAAGGAAUAUUUUAGGAUGGUAGGAGAGUGGGAAAGUAGCUAAAAGAUUUCUUUCUUUAAGUAUAACCUCCCUCCCUCCAAGAUAUCCUUCCUUUGUUUUUCCUUUUUUUCUUUCAUUUCUCUGAAGUCUGUAUAGGAGAGCUAUUGGGUGGUAUUUGCAAGGAGAUGUGACAUCAAGAGGGAGAUCCAAUGGCUGCAUUUGUCCUCUUUCUUAGUUGAUUGGAGGUUAUUUUGGAAUUAAGUGGAGGGCUUUCUAGGGAAAAAAUGACAGAUGGAAUCUAAGGGGAAACAUUCUAAAAUUCAAAACUCUUGUUCUCUAAUAUGGUAUAUUCCACAUUGAAAGAUGGGAGUCAUGAAUUUUAGAAUAUUCUUAUUUAUAUUCUAUUUGUCACUUUUUCCCUUAAAAACCUUCAUUUAAUUCCAAAACAUCUUUCACUCAAUAAAAAAAGGGAAAAAAGCACAUAUAUCUAUCUCUUUCUCGAUCUCUCUUUACCUCCACCCAAAAUUCCUUUCUGGUUGGACCUCCCCCCCCCAACACAAAAAAGUUUGUUCAUUUGGAUGAUCAUAGAGGGAGAGAUUUCAUGGAUAAGAAAAAGUGAAGGACAAAAAAAAUGAGGGGAAGGAAAUUUAGUGAGAAAGGUUGGUGCAACACCUAGUCAACUCAUUCAUCACACCGUUUCAGGAUUGGUGCAUAUUUGCAUGAUGGUUAUUUUGGGCUCAUGACUUGAAAAAGCUAGCUUAUGUUGCUAAUUAAUUUUGAACUUGACUCGUGCUUGAGAUCUGAGAUCAAAUUAGUUCGGAUCUUACUUGAUCAAAAUGACUUCAAUUUGUGUAAUGACAUUUUCUAUUGUAGACCAAAUUCUACUUAUGUUUAAAACUUGGUUUUUAUUGCAAUUAGGACACCUUAUAAGGCACUUAUUGUCUUCUAUUUUGAAGGAUACAAGGGAUGUCAAUGACGAGAAAGCCAUGAAUACUAAAGUUUUAAAUGUCCUUUCGUUUGUCAUCAUUGAGAAGUACACCAUCUAGAAAUUCAUUUCUUUUAUUUAAAGUUGAAGAUGUAUCGAGGGAGCGGGUCAAGGAUAAGAAGCUAAAAGGGUGACGUCCAGUUGACUUCUUAUUUUUAAAACAAUGGCAGGAACUAGGAUGGUGUACAAGCUUUUUGAGUGGCCUCUCUUCACUCAUUUAAUGUGUUUGUAUUCCACAAAGUUCUUGUGGGAUAAGCAAUGUCUCAAAAAGAACAUGAUAAAGUCUAUCUAAAGAACAAGAUAAGUCCCUGUAAUUGAUGCAAGGUUUCCCUAUAUAUACAACUGGAGCCAAAAUCCAUGGAGCUGACAAAAUUGUGAAUGGAGGAAACAAAUGAGGGUGGUUGAGGACUUUUGAUGCAGCUUCAUGAGAGCCAAUGCACAACAGCCCAAACUUUUUGUUGGAAUGAUCCUUAUCCUCAUCUUUGCCGAGGCGUUGGCCCUGUAUGGCCUCAUUGUUGGCAUCAUUCUGUCAUCUCGUGCAGGCCAAUCAAGAGCAGACUAGGCAUCAGUAAAAAGAGGACAGACUCAUGCUUUGUAGAUGUUUGACAUGUUAGAUCCAGAUCUGCCUCCAAAUCAUACGAGGUUUACAAUUCAUUAUUGUGCUUGUACUCGUGAAAUUUUGGUCCGGUCAUGUACCGAUUACUGUUUUAGCAUUAUAGGAUGGAUAUGUAUGCAAAUAAAGAUCGCAUAGCUGUCACAUAUUGGCUGCAGCAUUUGAAUUAGUGCUUCAGCUGUUGUGAAAACUACCAAUGUAAACUUGGUCUGUUUUUUUCUCAGGACUUCGAUGACCUAAAUAACUUUUCUGUUUCAUCAUCGAUGUUGUUUCAU